GCGUUUGGAUAUUUAAUUAUAAUAUACAAUAAGAAAGAAAUAUGUAUGAAGAGCGCAUGUAAAACGUGGUAAAUUGCUGGGAAGUCCUUAUUCGUAUAUGAGAAAUACUUAUAGGCAUUUAAACCUAUAUAAAUAAUAUGAUAAGGGUUAUCAGCAGGUAAGCCUUAUAUAAAAUAUAAGGAAACUUCAACGACUACGCUCCACGAGAUUGUACACACAAAUAUAUUCUAUAGGGUACAAUCUAUGAUAUAGUCUAAUUAAAUAUGUAAAUAUUUA
rnacentral:ncRNA from 1 species